rnacentral:rRNA from 1 species
GUGGGGAAUCUUGCGCAAUGGGCGAAAGCCUGACGCAGCCAUGCCGCGUGAAUGAUGAAGGUCUUAGGAUUGUAAAAUUCUUUCACCGGGGACGAUAAUGACGGUACCCGGAGAAGAAGCCCCGGCUAACUUCGUGCCAGCAGCCGCGGUAAUACGAAGGGGGCUAGCGUUGCUCGGAAUUACUGGGCGUAAAGGGCGCGUAGGCGGACAGUUUAGUCAGAGGUGAACGCCCAGGGCUCAACCUUGGAAUUGCCUUUGAUACUGGCUGUCUUGAGUACGGGAGAGGUGAGUGGAACUCCGAGUGUAGAGGUGAAAUUCGUAGAUAUUCGGAAGAACACCAGUGGCGAAGGCGACUCACUGGCCCAAUACUGACGCUGAGGCGCGAAAGCGUGGGGAGCAAACAGGAUUAGAAACCCGGGUAGUCC